GAAGGUGGUUGAGAGGCAGAGCUGCCCCUGAGUAAGCCAUGCAGAGGAUCUCCUCCCUCAUCCAUCUCUCCCUCUUCUGGACAGGAGUCAUGUCAGCCAUUGAGUUGGUGCCUGAACACCAAACAGUGACUGUGUCAGUGGGGGUCCCUGCAACCCUCAGGUGCUCCAUGAAAGGGGAAGCGAUCAGUAACUACUAUAUCAACUGGUACAGGAAGACCCAAGGUAACACAAUGACUUUCAUAUACCGAGAAAAGGGCAUCUAUGGCCGUGGUUUCAAGGACAAUUUCAAAGGUGACAUUGAUAUUGCAAAGGACCUGGCUAUACUUAAGAUCCUUGCACCAUCAGAGAGAGAUGAAGGAUCUUACUACUGUGCCAGUGACACCUGCGGUAGUGCUUUGACAGCAAAACUCUUCUUUGGAAAGGGAACACAACUCAUCGUGGAACCAGAAAGUCAGCCUCAUACCAAACCAUCCGUUUUCGUCAUGAAAAAUGGAACAAAUGUCGCUUGUCUGGUGAAGGAAUUCUACCCCAAGGAUAUAAGAAUAAAUCUUGAGUCAUCCAAGAAGAUAACAGAGUUUGAUCCUGCUAUUGUCAUCUCUCCCAGUGGGAAGUACAAUGCUGUCAAGCUUGGUCAAUAUGAAGAUUCAAAUUCAGUGACAUGUUCAGUUCAACACGACAAUAAAACUGUGCACUCCACUGAUUUUGAAGUGAAGAAAAAUUCUACAGAUCACCUAAAACCAAUGGAAACUGAAAACACAAAGCAACCUUCAAAGAGCCCAAUGGAAACUGAAAACACAAAGCACCCUUCAAAGAGCUGCCAUAAACCCAAAGUUCAUACCGAGAAGAUGAACAUGAUGUCCCUCACAGUGCUGGGGCUACGAAUGCUGUUUGCAAAGAGUGUUGCCAUCAAUUUUCUCUUGACUGCCAAGUUAUUUUUCUUGUAAGGCUGACUGGCAUGAGGAAGCUAUACUCUUGAAGAAACCAAAGGCUUACAAAAUUGCAUCUCCUUGGCUUCUGACUUCUUUGUGAUUCAAGUCGACCUGUCAUAGCCUUGUUAAAAUGGCUGCUAGCCAAACCAAUUUUUCUUCAAAGACAACAAACCCAACUCACCCUCCAGCUUGAUGGGAAGACAAAAGUCCUGGGGAAGGGGGGUUUAUGUCCUAACUGCUUUAUAUGCUGUUUUAUAAAGGGAUAGAAGGAUAUAAAAAGA